rnacentral:rRNA from 1 species
UACAGGCUUAACACAUGCAAGUCGAGGGGAAACGACAUCGAAAGCUUGCUUUUGAUGGGCGUCGACCGGCGCACGGGUGAGUAACGCGUAUCCAACCUGCCCAUCACUUGGGGAUAACCUUGCGAAAGUAAGACUAAUACCCAAUGACGUCUCUAGAAGACAUCUGAAAGGGAUUAAAGAUUUAUCGGUGAUGGAUGGGGAUGCGUCUGAUUAGCUUGUUGGCGGGGUAACGGCCCACCAAGGCGACGAUCAGUAGGGGUUCUGAGAGGAAGGUCCCCCACAUUGGAACUGAGACACGGUCCAAACUCCUACGGGAGGCAGCAGUGAGGAAUAUUGGUCAAUGGGCGAGAGCCUGAACCAGCCAAGUAGCGUGCAGGAUGACGGCCCUAUGGGUUGUAAACUGCUUUUAUAAGGGAAUAAAGUGAGUCUCGUGAGACUUUUUGCAUGUACCUUAUGAAUAAGGACCGGCUAAUUCCGUGCCAGCAGCCGCGGUAAUACGGAAGGUCCGGGCGUUAUCCGGAUUUAUUGGGUUUAAAGGGAGCGUAGGCCGGAGAUUAAGCGUGUUGUGAAAUGUAGACGCUCAACGUCUGCACUGCAGCGCGAACUGGUUUCCUUGAGUACGCACAAAGUGGGCGGAAUUCGUGGUGUAGCGGUGAAAUGCUUAGAUAUCACGAAGAACUCCGAUUGCGAAGGCAGCUCACUGGAGCGCAACUGACGCUGAAGCUCGAAAGUGCGGGUAUCGAACAGGAUUAGAUACCCUGGUAGUCCGCACGGUAAACGAUGGAUGCCCGCUGUUGGUCUGAAUAGGUCAGCGGCCAAGCGAAAGCAUUAAGCAUCCCACCUGGGGAGUACGCCGGCAACGGUGAAACUCAAAGGAAUUGACGGGGGCCCGCACAAGCGGAGGAACAUGUGGUUUAAUUCGAUGAUACGCGAGGAACCUUACCCGGGCUUGAAUUGCAGAGGAAGGAUUUGGAGACAAUGACGCCCUUCGGGGCCUCUGUGAAGGUGCUGCAUGGUUGUCGUCAGCUCGUGCCGUGAGGUGUCGGCUUAAGUGCCAUAACGAGCGCAACCCCUCUCCUUAGUUGCCAUCAGGUCAAGCUGGGCACUCUGGGGACACUGCCACCGUAAGGUGUGAGGAAGGUGGGGAUGA